UGCUGGAGUGCCAGCUGUGUUUAGUGUAACCCAGAGACAAAUAAGGCAGGGAGAUGACUUGGUUGGAGCUGUAGGGAGUUCAGCCCUCCAGGAGCUACACAGAGAGCAUCAAGGGUGGAUCUACUUGGUUCCCUCAAGCACUGCAGUCAGGAACAGGAGCAUAAAAGCAUGUUAAAAAAAGCUUUUGCAGGA